UACGAAGGGGGCUAGCGUUGUUCGGAAUCACUGGGCGUAAAGCGCACGUAGGCGGAUUGUUAAGUCGGGGGUGAAAUCCUGAGGCUCAACCUCAGAACUGCCUUCGAUACUGGCGAUCUUGAGUCCGGAAGAGGUUGGUGGAACAGCUAGUGUAGAGGUGAAAUUCGUAGAUAUUAGCUAGAACACCAGUGGCGAAGGCGGCCAACUGGUCCGGAACUGACGCUGAGGUGCGAAAGCGUGGGGAGCAAACAGGA
rnacentral:rRNA from 1 species